rnacentral:rRNA from 1 species
UACGAAGGGGGCUAGCGUUGCUCGGAAUUACUGGGCGUAAAGGGCGCGUAGGCGGCACUGUUAGUCAGGCGUGAAAUUCCUGGGCUCAACCUGGGGACUGCGCUUGAUACGGCAGAGCUAGAGGAUGGAAGAGGCUCGCGGAAUUCCCAGUGUAGAGGUGAAAUUCGUAGAUAUCAGGAGGAAUACCGGUGGCGAAAGCGACUCUCUGGACGGCAACUGACGCUGAGGCACGAAAGCGUGGGGAGCAAACAGG